CCCUUAGAUGUUCUGGGCCGCACGCGCGCUACACUGAACAGUUCAACAAGUCUUAACCUUGGCCGAUAGGUCUGGGUAAUCUUUGAACGCUGUUCGUGAUUGGGAUAGACCUUUGCAAUUAUGGGUCUUCAACGAGGAAUUCCUAGUAAACGCAAGUCAUCAGCUUGCAUUGAUUACGUCCCUGCCCUUUGUACACACCGCCCGUCGCUCCUACCGAUUGAAUGGUCCGGUGAAGCGUUCGGACCGUGGCCUUUGGACGGUUCGCCGUCUGUUGGCUGCGGGAAGUUCGUUAAACCUUAUCAUUUAGAGGAAGGAGAAGUCGUAACA
rnacentral:rRNA from 1 species